CCAGGCAUGUGUCCUUACCAAGAAUUGAGCUGGUGACCUUUUGGACUGCAGGAUGAUUCCCAACCAAGGUACGCCCACCGGGGCGCACUGUUUAUUUUAACAAUUACUUGAUCUUAAAAACAUUCUGUUAGAUAUAAAAUGGUUCAUAACAAUAGAGCUCAUCUUCAGAGAUUGGCCUCUAAACUGUUAAUAGUAGUAUCUGUACACAAACCAAUUAAAAAGCUGGUCAAGGACAUUGACUCUUCAGAACUAAAACUCCUAAGGCCAACCUCUGCAGUAGGACUUUACCAUCUAGACGAAUCCAAAUAACCCAUCUCCAUGGCUGAUGAGGAUGUCUACAUAGGUCCAUUUGGAGAGUUAUCAAAGAGAAAACCACAGAUACACAUCCCUCAACUAACUGUAAAGCCUGUCCCGACAAACCUCUCCAUGUCAAAUAUUCAAAGCCAGGAGCCCAAUGAUCCCAACUACAGCCAAAA